rnacentral:rRNA from 1 species
CAAUAGCGUAUAUUAACGUUGUUGCAGUUAAAAAGCUCGUAGUUGGAUUUCUGGAGGGAGCGUCGGCCCGUAUUUACGAGUGCGUGACGUCUCUGUCCAUCCUUGCGGGAAGGCACGGCAUUGAUUUGUUGUGUCGGAUCGCAUCAUUUACUGUGAAAAAAUUAGAGUGUUCAAAGCAGGCUUUCGCUUGAAUACAUUAGCAUGGAAUAAUAAGAUAGGACUUCGGUGCUAUUUUGUUGGUUGAGCCUAAAGUAAUGAUUAAUAGGGAUAGUUGGGGGCACCUGUAUUGCGUUGUCAGAGGUGAAAUUCUUGGAUUUACGCAAGACAAACAGCUGCGAAAGCGUCUGCCAAGGAUGUUUUCAUUAA